GGACGAACGCUGGCGGCGUGCCUAAUACAUGCAAGUUGAGCGCUGAAGGUUGGUACUUGUACCAACUGGAUGAGCAGCGAACGGGUGAGUAACGCGUGGGGAAUCUGCCUUUGAGCGGGGGACAACAUUUGGAAACGAAUGCUAAUACCGCAUAAAAACUUUAAACACAAGUUUUAAGUUUGAAAGAUGCAAUUGCAUCACUCAAAGAUGAUCCCGCGUUGUAUUAGCUAGUUGGUGAGGUAAAGGCUCACCAAGGCGAUGAUACAUAGCCGACCUGAGAGGGUGAUCGGCCACAUGGGGACUGAGACACGGCCCAAACUCCUACGGGAGGCAGCAGUAGGGAAUCUUCGGCAAUGGACGAAAGUCUGACCGAGCAACGCCGCGUGAGUGAAGAAGGUUUUCGGAUCGUAAAACUCUGUUGGUAGAGAAGAACGUUGGUGAGAGUGGAAAGCUCAUCAAGUGACGGUAACUACCCAGAAAGGGACGGCUAACUACGUG
rnacentral:rRNA from 1 species